rnacentral:rRNA from 1 species
GUGAGUUUUAUCCUGGCUCAGAAUGAAUGCUAACAGUAUGCUUAACACAUGCAAGUUGAAUGUAAUAAUUUUUACAUAGCGAACGGGUGAGUAUAAUAUAAAAAAUUACCUUUAAGUUUGGAAUAAUUACAACAUAUAAAUUUUAAUAAAAUUAAAAUUUGUGAAAAAUAUUCAUUUGAAUAUUUUGUAAAAAUACCAAAUAAUUAAAUAUAAUUUAUUAUAAAAAUUAUAUAAAAAAGAAUAUAUUUGCUUAAAGAUAUUUUUAUAUAAGAUUAGGUUGUUGGUGAGGUAAAAGCUCUACCAAGCCUUUUAUCUUUAGUUGAAUUGAGAGAUUUGUCAACCACAUUGGGACUGAGACACGGCCCAGACUUUAAUAAGGCAGCAGUGAGGAAUAUUGGACAAUGAGAGAAAUCUUGAUCCAGCAAUACUGAAAGGGAGAAGAAGGCUGUAAAAUUGAGGUUGUAAGUCUCUUUCGUCGGAGAGGAAAAUGACAGUAUCCGAAAAAGAAGUUCCGGCUAACUUCGUGCCAGCAGCCGCGGUAAAACGAGGGGAACGAGUGUUAUUCGGUCAAAUUGGGCGUAAAGGGCUUGUAGACGGAAAUUUGUAAGUAAAAGGUUAAAUGUCAAAACUUAAUUUUGGAGAAGCCUUUUAAACUAUUUUUUCUUGGAUAAUUUAGGGGAUAGUAAUAUUUUUUUAGUAGGGGUGGCAUCUUUGUAUAAUAAAAAGAGUACCGAGGGUGUAGACAACUAUCUAGUUUUAUUUAUCGACGUUGAAAAGCUAAAGCAUGGGGAGCAAAGAGGAUUAGAUACCCUUGUAGUCCAUGCCCUGACAUAUGAAUGUUAAAUAUUGGAAUAUUUUUUUUGAUAUUAAAGCUAACGCGUGAAACAUUCCGCCUGAGAAGUACGGCCGCAAGGUUAAAACUCAAAGGAAUUGGCGGGGGCUUGUUACCAGUGGUGGAGCAUGUGGUUUAAUUCGAUAAUCCGCGCAGAACCUUACCAAUUUUGUACAAUAGGUGUUGCAUGGCUGUUGUCAGCCCGUGUCUUGAGAUGUGGUGCGUGAGCAUUGAACGGGCGGAAUCCCCAAUCGUUAAUUAUUAAACGAAUAAUUAGUAUUAAAUAUUUGUUUGUUUGCGAUAGGUAGUUACGAAGGGUAACUCCCUUCGAAAAGCUAGGCGGGGACCACUUCAAGUCGUCAUGACCCUUAUGAAUUGGGCUACUCAUGUGCUACAAAGGCAAUUACAGUAAGAAGCAAAAGUGUGAACUGGAGCAAAUCUUUUAAAAAUUGUCUCAGUACGAAUUAUAGGCUGCAACUCGCCUAUAUGAAGGAGGAAUCACUAGUAAUCGCAAAUUAGCACGUUGCGGUGAAUAUUUACCAAGUCUUGUACUCACCGCCCGUCACAUUAGGGAAGUAAGGUU